GCGGCGGACGGGUGAGUAAUACUUAGGAAUCUGCCUAUUAAUGGGGGACAACAUCUCGAAAGGGAUGCUAAUACCGCAUACGCCCUACGGGGGAAAGCAGGGGAUCACUUGUGACCUUGCGUUAAUAGAUGAGCCUAAGUCAGAUUAGCUAGUUGGUGGGGUAAAGGCCUACCAAGGCGACGAUCUGUAGCGGGUCUGAGAGGAUGAUCCGCCACACUGGGACUGAGACACGGCCCAGACUCCUACGGGAGGCAGCAGUGGGGAAUAUUGGACAAUGGGCGCAAGCCUGAUCCAGCCAUGCCGCGUGUGUGAAGAAGGCCUUUUGGUUGUAAAGCACUUUAAGCGAGGAGGAGGCUACUUGGAUUAAUACUCUAGGAUAGUGGACGUUACUCGCAGAAUAAGCACCGGCUAACUCUGUGCCAGCAGCCGCGGUAAUACAGAGGGUGCGAGCGUUAAUCGGAUUUACUGGGCGUAAAGCGUGCGUAGGCGGCUUCUUAAGUCGGAUGUGAAAUCCCUGAGCUUAACUUAGGAAUUGCAUUCGAUACUGGGAAGCUAGAGUAUGGGAGAGGAUGGUAGAAUUCCAGGUGUAGCGGCGAAAUGCGUAGAGAUCUGGAGGAAUACCGAUGGCGAAGGCAGCCAUCUGGCCUAAUA
rnacentral:rRNA from 1 species